rnacentral:rRNA from 1 species
AUUGAACGCUGGCGGCAGGCCUAACACAUGCAAGUCGAGCGGAUGAAGUGAGCUUGCUCAUGGAUUCAGCGGCGGACGGGUGAGUAAUGCCUAGGAAUCUGCCUGGUAGUGGGGGACAACGUUUCGAAAGGAACGCUAAUACCGCAUACGUCCUACGGGAGAAAGCAGGGGACCUUCGGGCCUUGCGCUAUCAGAUGAGCCUAGGUCGGAUUAGCUAGUAGGUGGGGUAAUGGCCCACCUAGGCGACGAUCCGUAACUGGUCUGAGAGGAUGAUCAGUCACACUGGAACUGAGAUACGGUCCAGACUCCUACGGGAGGCAGCAGUGGGGAAUAUUGGACAAUGGGCGAAAGCCUGAUCCAGCCAUGCCGCGUGUGUGAAGAAGGUCUUCGGAUUGUAAACCACUUUAAGUCGGGAGGAAGGGCUGUAGGUUAAUACCUUGCAGCCUUGACGUUACCGACAGAAUAAGCACCGGCUAACUUCGUGCCAGCAGCCGCCGUAACAC